rnacentral:piRNA from 1 species
UAGAUCAGGCAUUGAACAAGGAGCAGAAGC